CGACUAUGGGAUCACCGAGGUAAGUAUUCACUCCUUCUUAACUUGUUUUCAUUAUUUGUUAAAAGAAAGUAAAAAAGAACGAAAUCGAGAAAGAAAACAAUAAAAGUGCCGGAUCUACCUUUAAAAAAACGAUUUUAGAGAAAAGUUCCCUUUUGUAUUCAAUAUCUGUAUGCUUUUUUUGUAUAUUCGAUCGUCCCCCCUUUUUUACAAUGUUCUUUGGUCUUUUUAUAGUAUCUAUUUACAAUAAAAAGAAAAGAAAAUCCAAAAAUAAAAAUCUACCAAUCGCCCUCGCUCUGCCUUUUUAUUUUUCUCUGUGCCCCUUUUUUGUUUUGUGGUCUGUUUUCUACUGCGUUUGCUCGUCUCUGGCAGGUACUGUGUGUAGAGGUUGCGGAUGUGGCAUGUACGGAGGCGAAGGCGCACGUACGAGGCUCGUGCGAGCGGUGCUACGUGCAUGCGAGGGGACGUUUGCUGCGGUGCUGGUUGGGGCUGAUGCUAGGGUUUCCUCUUCUAUUGUAAUCGGGUCUGGGCUAGGUUGAUUUGGGCUUGUUAUAUUGGGUUUAGUUUGUUUAUCGGGCCUUUGUAUUAUUUUGGUAACUGAUCUGGGCCAAUUUGUAAAUGGACCUUUUCGCACUGAAUUUAAUAUUUUUCCUUUUUUGUUUUGAUUUUUUUUAUUUUUUUAAUGGGCCCCGGGCAAAUUGGGCCUGUUACAGCUGCUCCUCUUUGCUCAUUGUCGUGUAACAGGAAUAGAGCAAAGACUAAAAAGAACCAAUUUUUCCUGGUUGUGCUUGGACUUUGGUGCUCCUCUUUUUCGAGUUGCCUCAUUACAUCCUACUGUAUCUGCAGAGGUAUUGGAAUUGGUACUUCGAUUCACUCCACUGCAACGUCGGGGAGAUAGGAUUACUAGCUUCAAUCUUUUCGGUAUUCCCUUGCUGGUCAAGGAAAUAGGACUUGUGGCUUAAAUCUGUUUCCCUACUCCUGGGGAAGAUGAGAUUCGCCGUUUUCGAUCUGCUCCGCUACUGAUUAGGGAGGUAAGAUCUGCAAUCUCCAACCUAUUCCACUGCUGGUCAGGGACAUAAGACGUGUGGCUUAAACCUAUUUCCUUACUCUUGGGGAAGAUAAGAUUCACCGUCUUCGAUCUGCUCCGCUACUGUUUAGGGAGGCAAAAUCUGCAAUUUCCAACCUAUUCCACUGCUGUUCAGGGACAUAGGACUUGUGGCUUAAAUCUGUUUCCCUACUCCUGGGGAGAAUAAGAUUCGUCGCUUAGAUUUGUUUCCUUACUCCUGGGGAAAAUAAGAUUCUCCACUUAGAUCUAUUUCCCUAGUUCUGGGGAAGAUAAGAUUCGCCGCUUAGAUCUGUUUCCCUACUCCUGGGGAAGAUAAGAUUCGCCGCUUAGAUCUGUUUCCCUACUCAUUGGGAAGAUAAGAUUCACCGCUUAGAUCUGUUUCCCUACUCUUGGGGAAGAUAAGAUCCGCAAUAUUCACUGAUAUGUUCUCUAGGGAACAUAACAUGUGUAAUGAACCUAUUUAUGCCUAAUAGUUAGGAUGGCAUGAUCAGAAUAAAUCUAAUGCUCCUAACUAGACAUGAGUGAAUGGUAUUUUCCUGAAUGCAAUAUGUUGUCGUAUUAGUCAAAAUCUUAUUUAAGGCUUUUAUCAUAACCGCGCUUUAACACCCUCCUUCCUGGUUGGUGCCCUCAACAAAAAAUUUAAUUAAAUUGCCCCCGCUGUAAGCCUUCAAGCUCAAUUCAUUGGGUUGUGUUCAAUAUGCAACUCAAAAAAAUGGGGAGCUCUGGUCCUUUCUUCAUAUUCUAUCACAAUUGAAGGAUACUGAACGUGUAAACCUUUGGUAAACCACUCUCAGGAUGUCAUGCUUAGCACAAAGAAUUUUCCUCCAAGGAGAUCUCUCUUUUCUAACUCAUGACUAUUGCUGACAUUUCAUUCAAUUGACGCUUCCGUCAAUGAAGUCCGAAGGGACUGUUUAAAAUCAUAUUUUUUCUUAGAUUUCUGCCCUUUAAAUUUGGUUCAUUCUAAACAAUAGUCCUGUUUCAGAUUAUUGUAUUAUUUAGAAAAUUUUAGAGUAAUGUGCAAAACUUACUUUGUGAAAGUUCGGUAGUCCAUUAAUCAUUAUUCCAAUGCAACAUUUUACUGAAAGAUUAUGACUAUGGAUAAAUGUUGGUUCUAAGCAUAGCUCGAAAGAAAUAAAAUAUCAACAAUAGGGAGAGAAGAAUAACAAAUAAGUUGAUUGAGAAUGUGUAUAAUGAUAAAAUGUAUUAACACAUUCAAUACAAUAAGAACUAGGUGCCCAAGUUAUCGCAGUUUGAAUUUCUCUGUACAAACUUCCGAAGGCUAUUCUAAGUUUAGCAUGUGUUUAGGAGAUCUGCAGUACUCUGUCGAUGCUCCAAGAUAUCGUAUGCCCUUUCUUGUUGGUUCAGGUAUAGCAAGAUUAUCGUGUGCCCUGAUCAAAAUUUGAACAGUUCCAAUCUUCUCAUGCCCUUCUCUGACCAAUAUUUGAGCCGCCCUUUCUCAGCUUUUCGACUCAAAUCCCCUUUGAUCUCAAUGCGUCCUUUGCGGGUUUUCACAUUGGCCUCUCCAAAAUUUUUUUUUUAGGAAGCAAAUGCCCUUUGCGGGUUUUAACUUUGGUCCCCUUCUUUCAAGUGAAGUAUUUUUUUACAGAAUCUGCGUUUACGGGGUUUGGCAAACUUUUACCAUCCAUCUCACUUAGGAUCAAAGCUCCACCAGAAAAGGUCUUCUUUACAACAUAAGUACCCUCCCAAUUUGGCAUCCAUUUUCCUCUAAAGUCCUUUUGCAUAGGAAGGAUCUUUUUUAGCACCAAAUCUCCUUCGCGAAAUUCUCUAGGGCGAACCUUUUUGUCGUAGGCUCGCAUCAUUCGUUUCUGGUACAAUUGCCCAUGGUGAAUGGCUCUCAACCUCUUCUCCUCUAUUAGGUUCAACUGAUCAUAGCGAGAUUGGACCCACUCGGCUUCGUCCAACUGGAGUUCAGAUAAUACCCGUAGAGAGGGGAUCUCAAAUUCAAUGGGUAGUACUGCCUCCAUUCCAUAAACUAGAGAAAAAGGUGUUGCCCCGGUAGAAGUUCUAACAGAUGUUCGAUAGGCUGGGAGAGCAAAUGAUAACUUCUCAUGCCAAUCUUUGUAAGUCUCAGUUAUUUUCCCCACAAUUCUUUUAAUAUUCUUAUUGGCCGCCUUUACUGCACCAUUCAUUUUUUGACGAUACGGCGAUGAGUUAUGAUGCUUGAUCUUAAAUUGGUUACAAACCUCAUCUAUUGUGUUAUUGUUCAAAUUCAGCGCAUUGUCGGAUAUGAUUCUCUCAGGCAUUCCAUAUCGACAAAUGAUCUCCUUUUUCAAGAAUUUGCAGACUGCUGACUUCUUGACAUUUUCGUAUGAAGCAGCUUCUACCCACUUGGUGAAGUAAUCAAUGACUACAAAGAUAAAACGAUGCCCAUUAGAAGCCUUUGGUGAUAUUGGCCCAAUGACAUCCAUACCCCACAUGGAAAACGGCCAUUGAGAGGUCAUAACAUGAAGUGGCAAAAGGGGUGCAUGCAUCCUGUCUCCAUAAAUCUGACAUUUAUGGCAUUUCUUGGCGUAAUUAAUGUAAUCCCCUUCCAUAGUGGACCAAUAGUAUCCAAAUCUCAUGAUCUGUCUGGCCAUGGUGAAACCAUUGGCGUGCGUCCCACAGAUACCCUCAUGGACCUCCUCCAAAAUUUUUUUAGCUUCCACGGCAUCCACACAUCUUAACAGUAUAGCACUUCCCUGUCUAAGACAUAUUCGACAGCUAUUCUCCUCAGAGUUCUCUUGUCGUUCUCUGUUGCUCGACUAGGGUACUCCCGAUUCUUUACAUACUGUAGAAUACUCUGAUACCAAGGGUGAUCGUCUUUUCCUUGCUCCUCAAUAUUAUAACAAUGAGCUGGGGUUUCAUAGAUACUCAUCUGAAUAGGCCUUAUUACUUCAAGCCUGUUCACCAGAAUCAUCGAAGCUAACGUAGCCAAUGCAUCAGCCAUUUGAUUUUCCUCUCGUGGGAGAUAACUGAAGGUGAUAUCGUCAAACUCGUCAACCAACUCGAGGACCAGCAUUCUAUAACUGAUUAACUUAGGGUCUCCAGUUUCCCUUUCCCCUUUAAGUUAGUAUAUCACCAAUACGGAAUCCCUAUAUACUCUUAGCACUUUGAUGUUCCGCUCGAUGGUUGCGCGAAUGCCCAUAAUACACGCUUCAUAUUCUACCAUAUUAUUUGUGCAAUCAAAGUCUAACUUACUAGCCACAGGGUAAUGAUCUCCACUCGGGGAUACCAGGACUGCCCCAAUUCCAUUACCUAUAGCAUUCGAAGCUCCGUCGAAAUUUCACCUCCACUCAUGAUCCAUCUGAGGAUUUUCUUCAGUGCUUGCUACGCACAUCAAGUCCUCGUUUGGAAAAUCGAAGUUUAAGGGCUCAUAAUCCUCCAAGGCUUUACUUGCCAGGAAAUCAGCUAUUGCACUCCCUUUUAUGACCUUCUGACUUACAUAUACUAUGUCAAACUCAGAGAGCAGGAUCUGCCAUCUAGCCAUUCUCCCAUUUAAGGUAGUUGAUUCCAUCAUAUAUUUUAAAGGAUCCAACCUUGAAAUCAACCAAGUCGUAUGAUACUACAUAUACUGCCUUAGUCUUCGUGUCGCCCAGAUUAAAGCACAACACAAUUUCUCGAUUGACGAAUAUCUCAAUUCACAGCCAGUGAAUUUCUUGCUGAGAUAAUAUAUUGCCCUUUCUCUCUUUCCCGUUUCAUCGUGUUGGCCCAAUACACAUCUCAUGGAAUUCUCGAACACCGUUAGAUACAAUAUUAAUGGCCUAUCCGAACUUGGCGGUGAUAAUACGGGAGUAUUGGUCAAAUAUUACUUUAUCUCGUCGAAAGCUUGCUGACAUUCCUCAUCCCAAUCACCCGGAUUAUGCUUAUUUAAAAAACGGAAUACUGGAUCACAUUUCUCCGUCAAUUAUCCAAUGAAUCGAGUAAUGUAAUUCAGUCUUCCUAGGAUACUUCAGACUUCUUUUUGAGUGCGCAGAGGAGGCAGGUUUCGGAUUGCCUUUACUUCGUUCGGGUCCACCUCAAUCCCCCUCUUACUAACAAUAAAGCCUAAUAACCUCUCUGAUCUGGCUCCAAAUGUGCAUUUUGCAGGGUUAAGUUUGAGCUGAAAUUUCCUCAAUCUCAAAAAUAAUCUUUUCAAGACUUGAACAUGCUCCUCUUCAGUUUUAGAUUUGGCAAUCAUAUCAUCAACAUAGACUUCGACCUCCUUAUGCAUCAUGUCAUGAAACAAGGUCACAAUAGCCCUUUGAUAUGUUGCUCCCGCAUUCUUCAAUCCAAAUGGCAUUACUUUGUAACAAAAUAUUAUUUUUCUUAUAUCCUCAGGGUGCAUCUUUAUUUGAUUGUAUCCAGAAAAGCCGUCCAUGAAAGAGAAUAGUGAGUAUCCCGCCGUAUUUUCUACCAAAGUAUCAAUGUGAGGCAACGGAAAAUUAUCCUUUGGACUAGUCUUAUUCAAAUCCUUGUAAUCCACGCACAUCCGUACCUUUCCAUCUUUCUUGGGAACAGGGACGAUGUUAGUACCCAAUCUGAAUAUUUGAUCUCUUGUAAGAACCUAGCAUUGAACUGCCUUUUGACCUCUUCUUUUAUUUUUAGCUCAACAUCAGGUCUCAUCCUCCUUAACUUCUGCUAAAUCGGUUUACAAUCUUCUUUUAUGGGUAGACGAUGUACCACGAUGCUAGUACUUAACCCGAGCAUAUCUUGGUAUGACCAUGCAAAAACAUCUUUGAAUUCUCGGAGUAAUUCAGUGAGGUCUUGCUUUGUCUUUGCGGCGAUUUCAAUUCUAAUUUUUACCUCAUUUCCCUCCUCUCGGCUCAAAAUUUCUAAUGAUUCCCUAUAAGGUAGGAUUUGCUCAUCCUCUUGUUCUACCAUUCUCGACAAGUCUGGAGAUAUACCACAGUCUUCGUCAUUUUCAAAGUCGUGAGAUUCCUCUAAACACAUGUCUUGCUCAAAAAGAAGCUCCAUGUUUGAAACAGCGUCAUUCAUGUCGUUGAUAUCUGAGGACCUAUAAGGGCAUAUCAAAGAAUAUACCAAAAAUAUAUAAAUUUAUGAAUGAUUAUUUAUACAAUAAGGUUACAAAUGAAAGAAUUAUUUGCAGGACAAUCAAUUAGAAAGUGCUUAUUUGUAUAAAAGAAAAAGAAUAAUUGCUCGAAAUGAAUGUAAAGAUGUAUUUCAUUAGAAUAACGAUGUUCAGGCUCAAGCCUUUUUCACAAAAGAUUUCCUGUCAUUUUCAGGCUUAAACAACAAGAAUGUUCUGAGUAUUACUCUGAAUAAGCCCUAAAGACUACAGGGAUUUCUUCCGCAGUCCAGUUGUUUAGCUCGCUUCCAGUUUCGUAAGGACAGAUCUCUAACGAGGCUUUUUUCUCAGAUGUUUCUAUAGCAUUGAUAUGAACAUUUUCUAACAUCUCUCCAAUGUCUUUGCUUUUGGGCACCCCACGUUCAGGAUGAAUAAAUCCACCCAAUACAAAAGAUGUACAUAUGUGGGGAAAGGACAUAGGCUCCCACUUAACCUCUUUUCCGCUUAAACGUGUCCUUCUUCUCUCUUGUCUUUUUUCUACCUCUUUCUUCUUCUGCUUCAUGUCUGGCUUGUAUCCUAACCCAUAACUGUCAAACUUUUCCUUCAGUAUCGGUGCUUCAAUCUUUCCUUGAAGAUACUUUCCCAAUCCUUUUCCGGGUGAAGCCCCUCUUCCAAAAAUCAAUUGCAGCCCCAUCUCUGUGCUCCUGGGUAUUUUCGGUACUGGAUUUCUGCUUCCUUCAGCAAUAAACAUCGCGUUCACAAAUUCUAAUGACUGAAAAGAGCAUUCCACUGCCUCAUCAUCAAUCUCCACAUAAGGUGCUUCGCCAGUUAUUGUUGCGAUGAUAUCUUCCUCUGUACUUAUUGUUAUCACCCGACCCUCUGAUACUAUCUUCACCUUCUGAUGUAGCGAUGAAGGUACUGCCCCAGCUGAGUGUAUCCAUGGCCUUCCCAAUAAACAGUUGUAGGAAGGCUUAAUAUCCAUCACCAAGAAGUCCACAUCAUAAGUAAUUAGGUCAAUCCUUAACGGUACCUCAAUUCUACCCAUAACCUUCUUUUCAGUUCCAUCAAAUGCCCUUACUAUACUCUGGCUCGCUUUCAUGUGGGAAUUGUCCACGUGUAACCAAAUAAGAGUAGAUAAAGGCAAUACGUUUAGUGCAGAUCCGUUAUCAAUCAGGAUCUCCAAGAGUAUGUACCCUUUGCAUCGGGCAGUGACGUGCAGGGCUUUAGUGGAACCCCUUCCUCUAGAUGGUAUUUCGUCAUCACUAAAGAAGAUAAAAUUGUCAGCAUUUAUAUUGUUGACCAACCGAUCCAGCUUGUUCACCGAAAUAUCAUCCGCCACAUAUAUUUCAUUUAGUACUUUCAAUAGUGCAUUUCGAUAUGCUUCUGAACUUAAGAGCAAAGCUAAUAUAGAAAUGCGGGCUGGCUGUUUGCGUAGCUGUUCCACAACGCUAUAUUCGCUGUGUUUCAAAAAAUUCAGAAAUUCUUUUGCCUCAUCCUCUUUUACUGGUUCAUUAACCAAUGACUCAACUUCCACGGUUUUCUCUUUCUUCUGCUCUCUUUUCUAAUUCUCUUCUCUUGACGGUUCUGCCUGUGCGUCAUAUCGCUUCCCAUUACGUGUGUAAGAACCUAUUUCCUGAUUUCUUUCUGCUUCUUUUCUCAAGAUUGUCACGUUACAUCCAUAAUUCCAUGGUACCAUUUUGUCAUCCUUGUAUGGGAAAUUUGAUGGUUUCUGGAUUAUAAUUUUUGGUGUUGUACGGACACUAGACCCAUCGCUCCGAGGGCGUGAAAUGAUGACCACAGGAUGAUUCAUUUCCGUGGUCUUCGCUGCCAACUCUGAUGCGUAAACAUUUCAUUUACCCUCUGCUUCUUCAUAAAAUCUCAUCUCUUUGUUGUCCAUCAUGCUCUGGACCAAAGCCCUGAAUCCCUCACACUCUUGAAUUUCAUGUCCUGCCUCAUGGUGGAAUUCACAAUAGUUUUCAUCUUCACAUCUUUCUUCAUAAUUUGAAAUAACUAGCCCUCUCAUCGCCAUUUGUCUCCAAACCCACUUCAACGGAGUUUUUACUUCAGUGAUGUCAUUCUUGACCUCUUCUCCCCUACUUUCGCUCAUCAAAUUCACUCCCUUAUCAGUAUGAUUGGGUAGCGAAUUUUCUGCAUUAGGUGAGUCAUCAAACUUAACAACACCCAUGCUAAUAAACUUUUCGACUAGCUUCUUGAAAGCAGUGCAGUUUUUUAUUGAGUGCCCUGUAAUUCCGGCAUGGUAAUCACAUUGGGCGCUCGCAUCGUACCACUUAGGAUACGGGGGUUGCAAAGCGGUCAAGUAAUGGGGAGAAACUACGUGUGUGUUAAACAAAUUCUGAUAUAGCUCUUUGUAUGACAUCGGAAUUGGUGUGAACUGGGGCUUCUCAGUACCCUGCCUCACACCAGAUUCUUGUCUCGUUGAACCCUGUUGACCCGCAAUCACCUUUCUCGGCUGGUUCACCAUAAUUGACUUGUUGUAUGCAUUUAUAUUGCUCACUUCAUUUUCUUUUCUUCUCGAGGCUGACCUUUUAUUGCUUUUUCCUGCUUCUAUUUUCCCGUUUCUUAUGGCAUUCUCAAUCAUUUUACCAUUCAUUACUAUAUCUGAGAAACUUUUGGUUGCACUUCCUAGCAUGUGCAUAAUGAACGGGGCUCUUAAGGUAUUGAUAAAGAGUAUUGUGGCCUCUCAUUCUAAGAGCGGUAGUUGGACUUGGAUGGCAAUUUCCCUCCAUCUUUAUGCGUACUGUCUGAAACUCUCACUUGGUUUCUUCUCCAUGUUUUGUAGUGUAAUUCUAUCGGGGGUCAUAUCCGUUACAUGGCUGUACUGCUUCAUGAAUGCCUGUGCUAGGUCCCUCUAUGAACCAAUCUUGGUACAACUCAAUUGAUUGUACCAUUUAGACGCUGCCCCUACUAAAAUGUCUUAAAAACAGUGGAUUAACAGCUGAUCGUUAUUGACGUAGCCAGUCAUCCUUCUACAGAACAUAGUGAUGUGGGCCUCGGGGCAACUAGUUCCAUUAUAUUUCUCAAAUUCAGGCAUCUUGAAUUUAGGAGGUAGUACCAAAUCUGGGACCAAGCUUAGAUCUUUGGCGUCGAUUCCCUGAUUACUAUCAGCGCUCUCCAAGGCUUUGAACUUUUCUUCCAACCACCUAUACCUAUCCUCCCAUUGUUUUGGUAAUUCUGCGCUUGCUUUUCCUUCUUCAGCUGUUUCAUCAAAAUUCGGAAUAGUGGGAUUGAUUAGGUUUUCUCCCAGGUUUAAACUCGAUUGUCCUUGAAAAUUUGUGGCACCAGUUUGUAAUUGUUGCGGCCUAAUUGUGACGGACGGUCCUCUUUGGUACACUUCAGUUUGGGUUCAUGCAUUUGGUGGCGUGAAACCCGGAGGAUACAAUGGAUCCUCGCUACCCUCUCCAUGAUCGGCCAUAGGGCCCUUUCCUUUAUCUACUCCUCCCGUCAAUAGAUGGGUCAAUUCAGCCAUAGCAUCCUUUUGAGAUUUAAUCAACUUUUCUAUCAUGUCUUCUUGAAUUUUAUCCAAUCGCUCUUGCAUUUAUGCUUGUAAUCGUUCUUGCAUAUCCCACUACAUUUAUUCCAGUUUCUCUAGUCUUUGGUCCAUUUCUUUAGUUUUUUGUCGAGUACCGUAUUGAUGCUUAAUGGGUGAGCUUUUGUUGGUUUCCAGGUUAAUUGUAAUAAUUUAACCAAUUAGGGUCUUUUGGUGGACUUUAAUACAUAUGAUGCAAUGUGAUGCAAUGCAUGAAUGCAAAAAGGUGUCGAUUCUGAUUUAAUUUCAUUUAGAAAGCUUCAUUUGGAUAACAGCAUUCUUUACAUAAAAUAGAUUACAUAUACAAUUUUGCCCUGAUGCUCAGAAUUUUAAUCUUUUUAAGCAGCGAAGCAAGCUCUCUUCCCCGGUCUGAUUUCAGCUCGUACUUUACGCUCAAAGUAUCAGCUUAUAUUGCUAGGGUCUACAAGUAAUCGGCUACCUCCCGAAUCUGGGUCACAGCUUCUCCCAUGACAUGAUCUCUGUCUCUAACUUGGCUUUGAUAAUAAUAGAGCUGUUCUUUCUGACGUUCUUCAUUUUCUUUAAAAAAUGCAAUCCGCGUAUCACAAUCUUGUAGCCUCGCAUCUAACUCUUCCACUCUUUUCUUUGUUUCUUCAAUCUUGUUCAAGCUCGCUCUUAAUUCCAUCGCGGUAUUACGAUUUCGGUAAUGAUGAAGAGACAUUUCAAGUUCAGCUAUUCGUGCCUUUAAUUCAUCUGUCACACCCGGCUUUCUAACAGAAUCCUCUCCAGGGUCUGGUUUUGUAUUUGAGUCUCUUGCCAUUUCUUUUCCCAUCCAUCAGCCUUGUCUCUUUCUUCUUGGAUUUCUAGUCGCCAUUACUCUGAAGUCUUUCCCAGCCCCGCGGUUUUCAUUGAUACCCGUAACUUUUUGUAGUCUGUCUUUAAGCUAUCCAGAUCCUCUUCUACUUUAUUAUUCCCUUUCUUUAAUUUUUCGGCCUCUAACUUUUGGAUGUCCACGUCUAGUCUCAAAUGCAUCUUCUCUUCUUCCAACCGCUCUAUUUUUUUUUGAGUUAUGAAUUCCUCUUUUCGAAAUCUUGUUUUAUAAUCUCCAACUCUGAUGGGACUACUUGUAGGUACUCUUCCAUUGGUCGAACACCCUCCAAGUUUAACUCUGGAAUGUUAUCAUUAAUUCUCUUAUUUCGCCAUUCACUGUAUUCUAGAGUUGUCAUUGAACCCACAGCUAACCUUUUCAUCCUAUGAACCUGAUUCCAAGCCUGAAAAAUUUCUUUCACCCUUCUCUUGUAAUUGUCUCCCCAGUACGAGAACUCACAUUAAGCUAAACCUUGCGUUGUCGGCACAAACUGUCUUGAAUUAUAUUGCCUUAGGACCAACAAAGGUGCAUACCCAACGACUCCCUAAAUCUCUAGCAACGGGACCCAGUCAAAGCUUCCACAACGGUAAAGAAUUUCAUUAGGAAUCAACCAGGGAGCUCUCCAUUCCACAUCAUCAUCUUGAAGAUUUUGCAGGAUUGCUGUCCAAUUUUCUUCUGAUAUGUCGUCCCUUCUUGGCGUAGCCACUAUCUCUUUUAACGGGGAGUAAUGCCCAGAGAAAAUUCGAUACGAAACUUUGUCGACCUUCUAGAAAUGACUACGGAACCAGGCUAACAAUAAUUGCACACAACCUAUGAAUCUGCCUUCCCCAGCUCGCCUACACGCAUUCAGAGAUCUAAACGUUUCAGCUAAAAUCGCAGGAACAGGCGUGACCCCUUUACUCAACCGAUCAAAGAGAUAUGAAACCGCCUCGCCAACAUGCCCCAGCGCUCUAGGGAAGAUCACUAACCCGUAGAUACUCAAAGCAAACACGUCGACCUUCUUUUUCCCAUCCGGAUGCGCUAUAAUCAAGUCCCACAAAUUUUUCCAUGGAAUACAUUUACACUCCCCUUUCUGCUUGAUCCUGGUCGUAAUCCACUGCUCGCUCAUGCCAGUAAUAUUCAUCAGCUUCUUCCAAAAUGUCGGGACGUACGCGGCUCUAGAAUAUGCUUUAUCUACCUGAAGCCUGGGACAAUGUAGUAAAGCUGUAUAUUCCUCUACUGUAGGCACCAGAUCUACUUUGCCAAAAGUGAAACAACUAUAUGCAGGAUUCCAAUAUUGAGCAAGAGCCCGAAACAAUCGCUCAUCUACCCUGACAUCAAGCAAAUACGGCAAAUCUCCAUAAUUGGAAUAGAACAACUGCUUGGUCUCAUCAUUCCACUUAUCCCAUAUUUCUGUCAACUCCUGAAGGCUAUUUUGCGUCACGCUAAUACGAGUGUUGUCCCACAGCUCUGACACAUAAUCUUUAGCUAGACUGUCUCCCUUUUCCAAUUGCACAUUCUCUGACUAUAUACGGACCAUGGCAUUGUCUUCCACCUUAUCAAGAAAGUCGUUCUCCAUGACAAACUUUCUAAUUUUAACAACCGAACUUGAAUCGACACUCUUUUGAAUAUGAAAUGACAUGCAAACAUAUCAAUAAAACACCAUAAGUCAGUAUAACAUAUCAAUAAAAUUGGCAACAAAAUUAAGAGAAACAAGCAUUUACAUGAGCAAUCCUUAGAGUUUGGGGAAUUAUACCUAAGCUGGAUUCCUAGGCUAUCUAUAUGCGGUUUGGUUCUAAAUUCGAGGUACCCGAACCAGCAGAUUCCUCAGUCUUCACCUAUUAUAGACUCAUACAGACCAAGUUCGGUUCAGGGGAAUAUAUUUCCCUAUGGCUGCACGGAGAUGAAAAUCUCACGAAGACAUAGGUACGGAUGUACUCCGAAAGUGAUCCACUAUCCUGCACGGAGGUGAAAACCUCACGAAGGAGUAGCUUCUCACUCCCACUUAAAAAGGGUAAGACUAAAUAGUCUUUAUGCAAUAUGAUGACAAGUUAUAAAACACAAUAAUCAUACAAACAUAUGCAAAGAAAAUAUCAUAAAAUUAAAUAUUUAAAAUUUGACAAUAAGACAAAAACAAUCAAUUUUACGGCCUGACUCUCUUGGUGUCCCCAGCGGAGUCGCCAAGCUGUCGAAACCAUUUUUAAAUUUUGAAAAAACGGAUAUCGACCUUUUUUAAAAAGAAAACUCUGGGACUCGCCACCGAUCUUUUAUUAAGGUGUGAUCGGUUCACCAUUUAAAAUAAAUUUUAGGUCUGCGAAAUUUUAAGAAAACAGGUUCGGGGGUCAGUUACGUACUAGGAAGGGCUAGCACCCUCGUGAUGCCCAAAAUUGGUACCGAAUUGAUUAUUUAAUGCCUUAGUGUCGAGAAUUUGAAAAGAUUUUAAAAUACGAUCUUUGAAGUUUAAAUUUGCGUAAAACAAAAAUGAAUAAUAAGAUGGACUCAUUUUGGAGUAAUAAAUUGCUACACUCAGUGAGUUAGGGUGCAACAAUUCGAUCUUUUAGAAUUAAAUGUAUACCCGUUUUAAGAAAAUCUUGAAUUCGCAGAAGGGUAUUUGAUGAUUUAAAUCGAUCGAGAAAUCCGAACCCAAUAAGUUAGGGAUCAAUUUCCCGAAUUUUUUAAACAUCAAACAUUACCUCCACAUUUAAAAAAAACUUUAAUUCAAGGUAGCAAAGCUGUCAGAUCCAGUGAGUUAGGGUCCAGGCUUCGAAAUCUCGAAAAAAUUAUUUGAAAACUAUGAUUUUAUUUUAAAGGCGUUAUUUACCUAAAUUCGACGAAAAAAAAUAAAGCCCAGUAAGUUAGGGCACAAUUUUCUCGAAAAUCAUCGGAUGUAGGGUAUUCUGAAAACUUAAAAAAAAUUAUUUUAAUACAUUAGUAAAAUGUAGUCUCUUAACAAUAUAACAUGGUUAGAUGUUUUCAUAAAACGCGAAAGGGAAAUUCAAAGACAAAAUAUACAUUAAUGAACGAUAAGCAACCAAUGAACUAACAUGAACGAGCAUGACAAUAAUAGUUUCAAACAUACAUCACAUAAAUAUUAACAUUAGUUAACAAGAGGAGGUUAAUUAAAAUUAAAGCAAAAUCACAUAACUCAAAUGAAACAUAUAAGCUUGAACCUAAUUUAGGGAAUGAAUAAACUAGAGAGUUGAAACAAACUUGAAUAACUUAACAUGUAAAAAAAUGAUUGUUUAAAAAUGUUUGAGGAAAAUAAAAUCUAUUUGAUAGUAUGAAAUUACUAUGGGUUAUAUACGUACGUAGGUAUACAUAUAUAUGAUGAAAAUAAUCAUAGAAUAAGUAAAUAUAUUAUUAUUACAAUAAGGUAUUAUUUGAAAGUGUAUGUUUAUAAAUCUAAAAUAUAAUGAAUGAAUUUACAUAAAAAACCUAAAAUGAAAUAAAUUUAUGAAAUAUUAAUAAUAAAAGUAAUAUGUCAUAAGAAAUGGCUAAUACAUAUAGAUCUUUUUUUUUUUAAAGAAAACUAAAGGAUGCAUGUAAAAUAAAAAUAAAUUAAUGCGUAUAUACGAAAGCAAAUAAGUAUGAAAUAUAACAUCAAACAUAAUGAUGAUAAAUGCAUAUAGUAUAAUACUACUACUAAUAAUAAUAAAUAGAAGAAUAAUAAAAAGGGGUAAAUCACAAUCAAAAUCAAAUCAUCAGGAAAUAAAUGAAAUAUGAAUAAAACGGAGGACCCUACUGCAGUGUGCGAAUUAUAUGGGGGCCGAUUGGGAAAUAUCCCACUUCCCCAAAACGCAACACUUCAUAGUAGGUUAAAAUGGAACGAAAACAAAAUGUGUGGGUUAAAUCAGAGAAGGAAAAGGGACUUGAUUCAAAAGAAAACAGAAAAGGGGAGGGCUGGCCGCGCAAAUAUCCCUCCCUACACCAGAAUGCGCGGGUCAAGCUACGCCUGGGUCAGGUCAUCGGGUCGAGAGCAGGCCAUCUGGCAAUACAAUGCCGUUUUGGGAGCCACUGUUCAGGCCCCAAACGGCACCAUUUAAACCCCCUUAAAAUAGAGAAAUAAAGAAACCCUAAUGGGUUAUUCAGCUACCCUAAAGAAUAACGAAAAAGAAAGAAAACAAGCUUCUCCUCUCUCUUUUUUUUACGCCGUUCUCGGGCUAAACCAUCCACGGGUCCUCCGGUACCUCGACUCCGACGAGAACGACUAUGGGAUCACUGAGGUAAGUAUUCACUCCUUCUUAACUUGUUUUCAUUAUUUGUUAAAAGAAAGUAAAAAAGAACGAAAUCGAGAAAGAAAACAAUAAAAGUGCCGGAUCUACCUUUAAAGAAAACGAGUUUAGAGAAAAGUUCCCUUUUGUAUUCAAUAUUUGUAUGCUUUUUUUGUAUAUUCGAUCGUCCCCCUUUUUUACAAUGUUCUUUGGUCUUUUUAUAGUGUCUAUUUACAAUAAAAAGAAAAUAAAAUUCGAAAUAAAAAUCCACCAAUCGCCCUCGCUCUGCCUUUUUAUUUUUUUCUGUGCCCCUUUUUCGUUUUGUGGUCUGUUUUCUGCUGUGGUUGCUCGUCUUUGGCAGGUACUGUGUGUAGAGGUUGCGGAUGUGGCAUGUACGGAGGCGAAGGCGUGCGUACGAGGCUCGUGUGAGCUGUGCUACGUACGUGCGAGGGGACGUCUGUUGCGGCGCUGGUUGGGGCUGAUGCUAGGGUUUCCUCUUCUAUUGUAAUCGGGUCUGGGCUAGGUUGAUUUGGGCUUGUUAUAUUGGGUUUAGUUUGUAUUUCGGGCCUUUGUAUUAUUUUGGUAACUGAUCUGGGCCAAUUUGUAAAUGGACCUUUUCGAACUGAAUUUAAUAUUUUUCCUUUUUUGUUUUGAUUUUUUUGGUUUUUUUGAAUGGGCCCCGGGCAAAUUGGGCCUGUUACAACACUAUCCCUCGGACUUCUCGUAUAUGAAAUAAGCUAACUUUUGGUA
rnacentral:lncRNA from 1 species